ensembl:lncRNA novel transcript
GCCCUCCUCCUGGCGGAAACAGCUUCUCCCCGUCCCGCCCCUCAGUCUGCUCUUCACACGGAUACCACGAAUGCCACGGUGGCCUCCUGAAGACGGAGUCUGGUCUCACAUUCCUCCAGCUUCCUAUGCAUAAACCCCAGCGAAGGGUGAGCGCACGGCAUGGCACCUGCAGCAUGGGGUUCACGUUCUGGAAGGUUCUGGCUGACUCCCACCCCGCCCUUCACUGGCCAAGUAAACUUGCAGAAGUUACUUAACCCUUGACCUAGAAGAGCCUCCUGUCACCUGAAAAGGGAAAGUCGGGAUUGUAAGGAAAGGAAUCUCAUAGGGCUUCUCUGAGGAGACAAAUCAUUGGAUUGGGCUUAGACGUUCCAUCCGUGGCAAGAUUUCCGGCUUUGCCCUUUGGAGCCUGAGGAGCAAGGGUAGAAUGAGGAUCGUGAGGUUCUUCAGAGGCAGUUACUCACGAGGUCACAGCGCAGAAACGGCAAGAAAUGUCAGUUAUAAAAUGUCCAUGUGCAUUUUAAAUGAAUGGUUAUUAAAAUCCUUCUUUUUCCGUAAGGGAUCUAAAAAAUUAAACAAUUUGUAACUCAAACACACUUGUCAGGUAGCCUGAGUCAAAACCAGGAGAGGCUCCAUGGUCUGGAGUCUCCAGGUGCUCUCCUGGGUGAGGGUCUUGUUGCCUAAGGGGUUUAUGUAAUGAACUCAUUCUAAUACAAGCAAAACAUGAGUCCCUCAGAGUUGUUCAAAAAAUCAGGAAAUAGGAAAAAAUAAAUAAAUGAGAACAGAAUAUUGACAGGAGAGGAAAAUGAAGAGUUACUGGGAGAUUUGAAGGAGGGGAAAUGGGCAAAGGGUAAAUUUAGCAAUUAGACUUAAAGUCAGUGGAGAAUUAAGUGGAAUAAUCUAUUCUUACAUCCAUGUAUUUUGGUUUUAAAAUUUUGAUUAAUAUUCACUCAACACUAAUUUCUAACAAAAUAGAAUAUUUUCUUAUUGUCUGUUUCCACCACUGAGCUUGUAAUAUAUAUCCACUAGUAAUUUUAGUAGAUCAUAACCCCUCCAAAGGAGCCCAUAGAAUAAACUUAUUUUUGAACAGUCACAUUUUCUCCAAUGAACUUUUUUAUUUUCAAGUUUGAAAAGCUUUAGACAUACAGAAAAGUAGAGUGAAUAAUGGAGACCGUAGCCAGGACUCAGAUUUAGAAAAAUAGGUUUAAUCUGUUGUUAUAUGGCAUUUGUGUCAUACAUUUGACUCAUUUUUAUAAAAUGAAAUCUAGAAUUUAUAAAAUGUUGAUUGAAAGGAUUAGGAGUAAAGUUUAACCUGAUGUUUAUUUCUCCAAAUCUCUUUGUUCUAUGUUAACAGGUCAGGACAACUAUGGAUGUGAAGGAUGGGAGAGGGGCCUCCUUCCGCAUGAGGUCCCCAGAGGUAUUUGUCUCCAUCUAGAAACUGAGGGGCAUUUGUCUCCAUCCAGGACUUGGGGGGCCUCCUUCUCCAUCCAGGACUGGGGUGUGUCCUUCUGCAUCCAGGACAGGGGGACAUCCUUCUCCAUCCAUGAUUCAGAGUUCAUCCUUCUCUAUCCAGGAGAGGGGUUCAUCCUUCUCCAUCUAGGACUUGAGGGACAUCCUUCUCCAUCCAGGACUGAGAGGCAUCCUUCUCCUUGCAGUACCUGAGGGACAUCCUUCUCCAUUCAGGACCUGAGGAUGUCCUUCUCUGUACUCCCUUGGGACUGCACCCUUUCCUGUGCCAUCCUUCAGAAUGCUAGGCUGUCGCUGGUUGUGGAUUGAACUCUAGCAUCUUAUCUCUAUUCUAGGUGAAUCCCUUCACAUUUAUAGUGAUUUACCAUUUAAUCACUGUGCCAUUUUCCCCAAAAUAUGUGGGGUUUGGGGUUUGGUUUUUGUUCUUACUUCUAUUAAUUCUUCGGUUCCCACCUCCAGUUGUUUUGUAAUUUCUUUUACAACCUAAUAUGGUCCCAUUUGGUAAGUAUUACCAUGUACUAGAAAAUAAUGUAUAUUCAGUAUUUGUUGUGAUUUUUAAACCUUUAAUAAACUCAUAAGAUUUUUGUCUAUUUUCCAUUUAAAUUGAGAAGUACGAUCCCAAUGUUCCUCUCUCGAUCUGCUCCCGUUAGUCUCCAUGUGUGUCCUGGAGGUGAGGUCAGCAUUGGACUUAACCCUGUGUCACCUCCUUGGUUCUACUGCUCACCUGUGGCAUCCAUCCUGCUGUUUAUUAUUUUUUCCUUAAAUUGUAUUUGAACUAUUAAUUUUGCUACAGCAACUUGCUUUCUGUGAAUAUUUACUCAGUAGUUUCAUUUCCAUUCUUUUUUGCCCUUAAUUUGAAAGUGCUGCUUUGCUAUUGAUAAUUUUGUAUUUUAAUAUGUGAGGUUAAUUCCUCUGUGUUUGGUAGGAAAAAGUGAUACAUUUGAACUUAUUUCUAUUAUGUGAUUUUGGAUUUUGGAUUUGCAAAACUUUAUCCUUGAUUCUCUUUUCCUUUCUCCAGACUUAUUUUCAACUGACAUUUCCUUUUCCAUUUCCUUCUUAUGCUGAUUUGUAGGUUUUCCAGCCUAUUUACCGUUCUUUAGUGUCCUACAUUUUAAAAUAAUUCUUAAAUUAUCGACUAAUAAUUUUAAGCAUAUUGGAUUUGCGGUUUUCUCCCA